GGUUAAAUGGACGUGCGAGUACGAGAGGGUCAGCGACGACGUGGAAGUCCCUCACGUCAUCAAGGACUUCGUCGUCAAGAACUUCAAAGAAGUCGAUGAUUUGACCUUGGCGGCCAAGGCGGCCUGAAUAUUCGAUCGUCAGUAUAACGAAGAUUCCGUUACAUAAUAAGCUAUAUACAGCGUAUUCUAUAUAUUUUUUAUAUGGUCGUAAUUUGAGUUAAAAUAAGCUUGUGGUUUCAGGCGUAUGCAGCUGUUGAUUUGAUCUUGUGUUUUCCCCCCUAUGUAAUGGGUUGUGUUUUUGAGUAAUUGAAUGGUUUAUUAAGUAAGAAUCAACAUCCGGUGGAAAUGGGAUUCCGUUUUCGAAAUUUUAAAAUCUCAAAUCCCUUAAAGGAACCAAUUGAGAACUGAAAUAGUUAACAAGUAAUUGAAGCGGGGAAAAAAGUUACCUGAUUGGCCGGCGGGUUGGGAGGCGGAGGAGGAGGGUACGGAUGCGGCGGCUGCGGGAGAGGGUAGGAAGAAGAAGAAGCAG
rnacentral:lncRNA from 1 species